rnacentral:rRNA from 1 species
GAUGAACGCUAGCGGCAGGCUUAAUACAUGCAAGUCGAGGGGUAGCAAGAUUGUAGCAAUACAAUUGUUGACGACCGGCAAACGGGUGCGGAACACGUACACAACCUUCCUACAAGUGGGGAAUAGCCCAGAGAAAUUUGGAUUAAUACCCCGUAACAUAGCGAUGUGGCAUCGCAUUGCUAUUAUAGCUUCGGCGCUUGUUGAUGGGUGUGCGGCUGAUUAGAUAGUUGGCGGGGUAACGGCCCACCAAGUCUACGAUCAGUAGCUGAUGUGAGAGCAUGAUCAGCCACACGGGCACUGAGACACGGGCCCGACUCCUACGGGAGGCAGCAGUAAGGAAUAUUGGACAAUGGACGCAAGUCUGAUCCAGCCAUGCCGCGUGAAGGAUUAAGGUCCUCUGGAUUGUAAACUUCUUGUAUAAGGGACGAAAAAAGGUCUUUCUAGAUCGUCUGACGGUACCUUAUGAAUAAGCACCGGCUAACUCCGUGCCAGCAGCCGCAGUAAAAC